rnacentral:rRNA from 1 species
GAUGAACGCUAGCGGCAGGCCUAAUACAUGCAAGUCGGACGGGAUUCAGGAGCUUGCUUCUGAUGAGAGUGGCGCACGGGUGCGUAACACGUAUAUAACCUACCUUUAUCAGGGGGAUAGCCUCUCGAAAGAGAGAUUAAGCCCGCAUAAAAUCACAGCACAGCAUUGUGUAAUGAUCAAAUAUUUAUAGGAUAAAGAUGGGCAUGCGGAACAUUAGCUAGAUGGCGGGGUAACGGCCCACCAUGGCGACGAUGUUUAGGGGAUCUGAGAGGAUGGCCCCCCACACUGGUACUGAGACACGGACCAGACUCCUACGGGAGGCAGCAGUAAGGAAUAUUGGUCAAUGGGCGGAAGCCUGAACCAGCCAUGCCGCGUGCAGGAAGACGGCCCUACGGGUUGUAAACUGCUUUUAUACGGGAAUAAACCCAGAUACGUGUAUCUGGCUGAAUGUACUGUAAGAAUAAGGAUCGGCUAACUCCGUG